rnacentral:lncRNA from 1 species
ACUCACUGGGCUUUCUUUCACAGCACUGGGUGAAGGCAGUCUACUUCAGGAGAAGCAAUGUGAUUUACCAAGCUAAGUAUUUCAUUUUUUCUAUCACAAAGGAUGGGAGGGUGGAUGUGUGAAUCUGUGCACUUUAAGAAGUGAUUUUUUCAAAAGCAGUCUAAAAUAAAACUAAGUUCAGAGAUUCUUAUUUUGAAUGUUUUAUUAUGUUGAAUUUAAAUAUAAACUCUUCAGAGUAUAAAAACCAGGUAAAUCUUACAGCUGACGCAGAGAUAGAAGCCUGUUAACACAUAUACAUUACUAUCUUAAACUACCUUCUUAAACCGAUCAGUUUAACUUACCAUAACGGAAAUAUCUAAAAUUUAGAAAAGGAACAAAGUUUUUAUUUCCCUAAAGCCCUUAAUUCAGGUCUUAGGCUAGAACUUCAUUUUUUAAAAGUUAUUUUUAAAAAAUAUUUAAUACUUUAUUCAUACAGAAAUGCCCUGUAUUGUAUGGACUCUGUAUUAUAUAGUCUGUAGCUGUGCUGAGGACAGUGUUGACUACUAAAGGCAAAGUCUUAAAAUGAAAAGUUCAUCUACUGUUAGGCAAGUCCCAUUAAGUUAGGAAGUUAUUAGACCCCUGGAAGCUGAUGCCUGAUUUCCUCCUCAAAAUUUUUUUAACUUAUUGACAGAUAAAAAUCUGCUCUGCUGUAAUCAAGAGAUUUCCUGUUGAGAUUAAAACUGAGAACUUCAUUUUUUAAAUAAAGAAUAAUCAAAACAAUUUUAUAAACUGAGUGGCUUUCCAAAGCUAAUUUUCUACUAGAUGCAAUGAAAUUAUAGAUAGUAUUACUGUUCUCAAUCAUCAUUUUAGUUUGUUUUAAAAUCAGUCAUAUUUCUAGGGUUUUUUUCUAUAUUCCCCCAAUAAAAAGGCAAGUCAACUAUGUAAUCUUCAUUAUUAAUAUGAUGACCUAACAUAUUAUGCAGGUGCUCAGUUGCUGAGGUUAGCAUGUCAGAAUUGAUCAAUGAAAAAAUUCAUAGUUUGAAUCACAGUGGACUCCACCUGCCACAUUAAAGCAGUAGAACAGAAGAGACAUGAAAAUGACACAGUAUUAAUCUAUCAUCUACCUUUUAACAGCUGAUGGAAACACAUACACUGUAUCUAUCAUCUAUCUACCCAUUUAUAUUUAUGUAUAUAUGUAUUAUAUAUCUUACACAUUAGAUAUGUAUUAUACACAUUAAAAUGAGGAGCACAUAGUCAUCUAGUAUAAAAAUAGCUAAAUCACUGUGAUAAGUUCCAAGAAAGACAAGAACAGGGUGCCAGGUUUGUGUACAAUAUGAGCACCAUGGUUUCAUAAGUUGGUAGCUAAGUAUUGAAACUGACUGAUGAUGUUAUUUAUGUUUGAAUUAUAAGGUCAUGAAAUCCCAGAACCGGAAGAGAUCUUUAAAAUCAUCUAGUCCAACCAGUCAUUCACUGCUUGAAUUUUUCUUAUUAUUCACUUGACCAUUGCUGAUAUUUGACUAUUUUUUGACUUACAAACACAGCAUUUUUAUACAGUUCAACCUAAUACAAACAUUUAUUAAGUUUGGUGCUGGGCCAGGACCACAUAAGAUGGAUUAGUCAAGACAACCCUACCCAACUCUUUAUACAGGGGAGAAAUGUGAAACCAAAUAAUUAUAACAUAGUGACUAUUUGUAGAAAUAAAAUGGCUAAAGUGGCCUCACCUAUCCAAAAUGAACAGGCUUGGUGCUGAGUUGAGUGGUCAAAUUGUGUGAUCUAAUGCAACAGUUCAAAACUCCAUCAAACUCUAUGAGGCUAUUCGUAACCAAUGAGGGAUUCACUACAGAGACAUGAAUUUCGGCCACUUUCUAGCUUGAGCUCAUGGCUAAAUAGUGAAGCAUUUACUCGUGCUUCUCCAGCUUCUUGGAGAACUCACUCAUGCUGCAGGAAAAGAUUACAAUUUUACCAGUCACUUCAGUCUCUAUCCCAAAAGCUGUGUUUCCCAUAGCACAUGGCUAUGGGUUCAUAGACAUUGAAGGUUAAGUAGAAAUUACUCUUAGAAGCAACUUCUAUUGACCACGAUCCCACCUGUUAGAAAUAGGUCCUAACUGUGUAAAUGAUGAAAGGACUAUCUUUCCUUGGUAUUUAAUUCUAUUGGCUUCAGUUAGUCACUUGAAACUGCACAAGAUGGAGAUGAAUUCCUUAAUGUUCUUAUUUCAGCACAUAACAUACACAGUGCUAGGCUGGCAUCAGAAAAUAGAUAUGCUAUGGCCCCUGUCCUCAAGUUAUGCUAAAGUCCUCUUAAGUCUAAAUACUUUAAAAAGGUUUGAUGAGUGUAAUAUAUUCAUCCAUCCAUCCAUCAUUUAUGAAGCACUGACUAACGUCAGGCAUUUUCCUGAACUCUGGGAUAAGUGGGAAAUAAGACAAAGUCCCUGCUGCCACCCCACCCUUACCAUGUAUAUAUUUAUUGGAACAAUAUACUGAAUUUUCAAAAGGACAUUCCACUUAUGUGCUUUUUUCAUUUGUUUCAGCAACCGGAGAAAACUGUAUCACUCAGAAUCUGAGUGGUGGCAGAGACUAUAACUGCCUUGUUCGCUGCUAUAUCUGCAACGCUAAAAGUAUACUGUCUGCCACAUAAGAUCGAGUCUUGCUCUGUCACCCAGGCUGGAGUGCAGUGGUGUGAUCUGCAGCCUCAAAAUCCUGGACCAAAGCAAUCCUCCCACCUUAGCCUCCCAAGUAGUUGGGAUUACAGAAGUGAGCUACUAUGACCAGCUUCAAAUUUCUUUAAUAGCUUAAACCUGUCCAAGCAAGAUGAGAAACAUAACACCUAGUCUAUUAUCUCACUGGUUCCAUGAUUUUAUGAGUCAGAGCGAACUGAAGUUUGGCUCAAAUCAAAGUUUAUGUUAUUGCUCCUGCAUUCUUCUUUUGAAUCAUAAUAAAAAUCUCAUCCAACAAGGAAGCUGAGGUUCAGAGUUAAUGAUGAGAGCAUAUGGAAUUUGAAUCCAGGUUAAGACAACUUCAAAGCUGGUGCCAUUUUCCACUACCCAGCACAGUCACUGGUAAAGGUAUCCUUCCAGACAGAAUGUGUUCUAGUUACGGGUAUGCAUUUUCUUUCCUGAAAAAGUAAACCCUCUAUCUGUGAAAUAACUGCUAAAUCUUCUUGUGUGGUUUUUAUAUACUAAUUAAUCUCUUAACAACCUAAUACAUGUUUUUGUUAUAAAUAACCUAAUAUUCAUUUUGUGAAAUGCAGCAAAAAGGAUAAAAUGGUCAUUUCCUUUCAUUAA